UUGAACGCUGGCGGCAGGCCUAACACAUGCAAGUCGAGCGGAUGAAGGGAGCUUGCUCCUGGAUUCAGCGGCGGACGGGUGAGUAAUGCCUAGGAAUCUGCCUGGUAGUGGGGGAUAACGUCCGGAAACGGGCGCUAAUACCGCAUACGUCCUGAGGGAGAAAGUGGGGGAUCUUCGGACCUCACGCUAUCAGAUGAGCCUAGGUCGGAUUAGCUAGUUGGUGGGGUAAAGGCCUACCAAGGCGACGAUCUGUAACUGGUCUGAGAGGAUGAUCAGUCACACUGGAACUGAGACACGGUCCAGACUCCUACGGGAGGCAGCAGUGGGGAAUAUUGGACAAUGGGCGAAAGCCUGAUCCAGCCAUGCCGCGUGUGUGAAGAAGGUCUUCGGAUUGUAAAGCACUUUAAGUUGGGAGGAAGGGCAGUAAGUUAAUACCUUGCUGUUUUGACGUUACCAACAGAAUAGGCACCGGCUAACUUCGUG
rnacentral:rRNA from 1 species